CAACAUCAGCCGAUUGUAUGCUGAGCCCGAAAUUGCUGCCGCCAAUAGGAACCUCGUUGCAGCUUAACGUUCCACAAAUCGAUGCCGUCCAACGGCGAAAGCCCUGCCGUUAAUGGGUUCAGUCUGCCAAAUGGGAACCAAAGUCUUCGUCUGCUUUGUUCCCGCCGGCCUCCUCGCCUCCGCCUCUUCUCUUCUCGGUGUAUUCCCGCAAGGUAAAACCCGCCUCCCCGUUCCACACGGUCCGAAGAUUCCGGACCGUCGGUUUUUGAUCCAACGGCUAAUUUCCUUUUCCUUUUUAAAAUCUUAUCUGCCCGAUUUUGUUAUCUAAAUAAGCGGGUAAUUGUGGACGAGAAGUAUUUCGCGGGGGUGGUGAUUCGCGUGGAAGGACGGAUCGUCGGAACGACGCCUACUGCGAUUGCCUCGACGGAACAGGCGAACGGUGAGAACCAAACAAACCCCUUAAAAAAAAACCCUAAUCCUAACUUACUUUGAUUUCGCCGGCUGUACCGAUUUGAUUGUUCGUUCGAGGUAAUUAGGGUUUUAGGUUGUAACAUAUUAUUCUCUGUGAUUCACAAUACAUGAGUGCAUUUACUAAAGAGAACCGUAUGUUCCAAUUCAGGCUGCAAUAGAAGCACGGUUAUUGAUUUCGAUCUUUGUUCUCCAAAAGUAUUUUUGCAUUUAGAGAUUUUCGAAUUUCGUUGUUUGUAACAGGUUAUAUAGUGACAAUGCCUGUUAUGGGCGUUGUGAUACUCUCAUCCUAAUGUUCCAUCUAAUGAUGCUUAAUUGUGGCACCACAGCACGUCUGCAAAGGAGUUUGGGUUGUAGAUUUGCUCGCAAACUGCAUCAUUUUGAUGCAGAAACAUCUUGCUGAGCAUUGGGACUUGGUAUUUCUUGUUUGUAACAUAAGUAAUUACCAUCCAACUAUUACAAAAAGAGGCCAAUUAGGAAUGUGAACACAGUAGGUGCAUUAAGACCAAGUUGAAAGUGGGUUUUACCUAAGAUCUCUAUCAUCUCUCAAGCCCAUGUUGAGUCCCUUUGCUGUUGUCCAAACAUGGCUUGGCCAGGCAUGAGGUGGAAAGACCAUAGACACUUUAAUUACAUAGACAUAACGAACAUUUAAGAUGGACUUUCUAGUGAUAAUUCUAUCUUUACUUCAAGUAAAGCUCCUCUUUUUUUCUCCCCCACAUCCCUGUCAAACCCCAGGAAAAGAAAGCAGGAGCUUGUAGGUCCAACUUGAUUCACAAAAAAAUGUUACUGGAAACAAUCCACAUUAGAUAUUAAUUUUCAAAUAAGUGACUACUCUAGUAAUUACAUUUUAAUCUUUUUCUUAUUCUCAGCUAGAUCUUUUUAUCAAAUUGAUGACCUCUAAUUCUUUGCUCCUUUUUUGACUGAAUUGAACUCGGUGAGCAGCUCUGUUCUUUGAGCCAGGCAACUUGAUCUUGACCGUUCAUGAUUCACGAAUGGGGCUUCAUAGGGCUUCAUACAUUUUUUUGUAAAUCAAAUUGCAUAACCCUGCAUUCUUUUUCAUCUGCAUCUUGCAGAUUUGAUGCUAUGACUUCAGGAUAUACUUCAAAUUUUCCUACUUCUGUUGUGAUCUAGACGAAAUGUUUCACUCAUCUACCUGGGAACUGUAAGUCGUAUCAAGCAAAUUUCUGAUUAUUUAACCGUGAUAAUUCAUAGGUCAAAAUUAAAAGCACAUAUUGGUAAUCAGGUUUAUAUACAAGCAUAUGUCUGUUCUCAUUUUAGGAGCUUUUGUAUCUAAAAUUUCUACAAUAUUUUGCAGGUAUGCAGAUAUGUUUGCAAUCAGUUAUACUGAUAGAUCAACUUGUUUGCAAAUUGAAAGCAUUCGAAGUUAAGGAUAUCAUGUUAUUAAUGAUAAUCCUGUCUUAUCCAUCAGUAUUUAAGGCCUUACAUCAGAAGGUAGCAUGUUUUGUUCUGGUGCAUUUGUUUUAACUUACUGAUUGUCGCUAUGAUUUAUUAGCGAAGCAUGAUGAAACUGAGGUAUGGUUUUUCAGCGAGGCAUGAUGAAACUGAGGACAAGCUGGCAGCUUCAUUUGAAGUUUACUUGAGCCUCAACUUUGUGAUGGACCUAGCCAAACGGAAUAUGCUAGGCCAUGGAAAAAUCUAAGAGUCAUCUCAUCUUUCUAUGGCAGAGUUACAUAAACUUGCUAAGAGACAAGUCUCUCUUUAUUUAUUCACCUCUCCGGAGGUAUCUCUGUUUAUUUCUCGGAAAGAAAGAUUCUGGUGCUGCAAUUCUAUCUCAUAUUUUUGAUAACUUAGUUUGCUUUUGAAUUUCUUGAAGAAUCUUUCUUAAAAGAGCACUAUGGUAAAAAAGAGGUCAGCACAAUUUGUUGAUCAGGAAUGAGGGGAGUCCUUUUCUGCAACAGAUGGUCUUUCUAUUCCUCAAUUGUAAGAAAAGAGCAGCUUGUUUAAUUUCUUUGGAUUAAUUUGUUGAAAUUCCUUGACUUUAAAAUUGCAUGCCAAUAAUUAGAUACAAAGCAGAAAUUAGAGGUGAUGGAAUGGCAAUGCAAAAGACAUUUUGAUAUAAAUACCAAUUGUAGUCUCUUACAUAAUCAUGUCUACAUUUUGCUAUUGUCUAAAUGCUUCUAAUUCUAUCAGUUUAUUAGCAGUUACAAUGUGAAAUAUAUUGGUGGUUAUGAUGAUCAAGCAUCAUAAUUAAACUGACCCAGCAUCCUGAUGCAUUAUGUGGAAAUCCUGUUACUCAAAUCCUAGCAUAAUUAAACAUAAACUUUUGUCCUCUCUCUUUCUCUCUCUCUCUCUCUCUCCUUUCUGUUCAUUACAUAUAGCAAUGACACUAAAUUUGUUUUUUAAGGUGAAACACCAAAAAGGGACCAGACUAACUAGUCAGCCAUGAUCAGUCACUAUCCUGCUAUCGUACCCAUGUACAACCAUCAUUAUAGCAUAAACCUUUUUUUUUUAAUGCAAUAGAGCUGCAGGAUAUCAAAGAUGCUACUGCUCUUUACUUGGUAGAGUUUUGAGGAUUGCAAUUUUCUAUGCAUCUCAUAAAGAUAUUAACUGCUAUCUUCUCGAGCACAAAAACAGGAAUGAAUCAUGCUUAUUCUCUUCAAAUACUGUAGAUUUUUUGUUUAUCUACAUCCAUUACAGUAAAAAGUUUUAACUACCUGUACUCAUUUUUGGACAGUCCAAAGAGAAAAAAUGUUUAAGCAUCACUUUACUAUUUCAUGCACAUGACACUAGCUAAACAGGUAUAUGAAUUUUCAUUUAUUUUCAUGCCUACAAUAAUUGUGACCCUUGUUCUUUAUCAGAAAGAAGACAAUAAAUUUUCUAAAUAGUCGAUGCCAAGGUCUUGUAACUCCACAAUGUCUGCUUGAUUGCUUCCCAUCCCUUCAAUGCUGCUGUUUCU
rnacentral:lncRNA from 1 species